CUCCCAUUAAAAAAAAAAAAAAAACCACAAACAAGUGAAGUUAUCUCAACUCUGUUGCAAGAAUCACAGUGUUACUGAGCUGGUUUCCAGGCCAUUCCCAAGUCUGCCCUUGUCUCUCACUACUAUCGGUUUGCUUGUUUCUCCCUCAUCCCUCUCAGGAUAUUCAUUCUGACUUUGAGGGCAAAGAUCCUAAGUCCUCUUUUAUUUCCACACCUAGAAAGUGGUAGGUGUUCAAUGAGUUUGAUGUGAUCUCUUCCCUUCCUCCCAUCCCCUGACCCUAUCUAUUCACUGUUUUUCAUCUUUACCCUUUACCCUCCUCCCCCACCCCUGCUCUUUCUUUUCUCUGUCCCUUUUCUUGUCAGGUAAUGUUUUGUCCCUUCCUUUGUCUGUCUGUCUCUCUGUUCCUUCUUUGAGGUUGCGCAUUUUGUGGAAAGGGUCCUAAACUGGGAGGUCUGGCUCUGGGGCCAGUCCCAGCAUCCCCUGUGACCUUGCUCUGGUUUCUGCAGGCCCCAGAUUCCUCCUCUGUGACAAUGUCUAUUGGACUAUUGGUGGUUCCACAUCAGUGUGCACCAUCGCCAACCCAGGGGCAUGUGGAAAUGUCAUGGGCCUUUUUUUUUUUUUUUUUUUUAGUUGUCACAAUGCCUGGGGGUUGCCAUUCACGUUUAGUGGACAAGGACCAGGGAUGCUAAACCUGCGAUGCUCAGGAAGAUCCCACCCAAAUGCCAAUGGCACCUUCAUGCAGAAAUGCCAGUCGAUGGCCUCUUAAGGCCCCAGCAAUUAAUUUAGUGAUUCUACAAUGUUGUUUCUCUUUAUACUUCCCUCUGUGCUUCCUACUCACUAAGGGAGUAAAAGCGGUUUCUUUGUAAUGCUUCUGUCUCUCGUCACAAGAAACCAGAGAUCCCUUUUUUUUUUUUCUGGAAACUGAUCUAAACAAUAGAAAGGUCACUUUGGCCCUUGGAACCAUUCCUGUCAUCGCUCUCAGUUUCAGCAGCCGUAGUGGCCGGCAUCAGCCCGGUACAUCCUCCGGGUACCGCAUAUAAAGCUCGUAAUAGCCUAUAAUGGAGUCUCAUGGAUAUUACAUGCUUCCAAAUCCCACAUUAUCUGGUUGGGGGGAUUAAAGAGAAGAUUGGGAGGGGUUAGGAACACAGCGGGCCCCGGGGCUGGUGUCAGUACACAGAGCCACGCAGCGUGCCCAAUUCAUUUGCCAUGGCCCCCGCCUACCCAGCGUUCACCACUGGUGAGAAAGCAGUAAGUACCUCUGCCUCUUCAAAGCUCAGCAGAGGAAGGAUGCUAGAGAAAUCCCCGCUAGCAGCAGACGGCCUUUUUCCUGUGGCCCCAAAAAAGAACCUCAGAUAGGUGCUCAGCUAAUGGAAACUUGCCUAGUAAACAUCAUGGUCAACAGGAUAAUUAAGAAGUCACCCAAGUGUAUGUUCUUGAACCCUUUUUACCCGAUGGGGUUGUAGCUGGGUAGAAUUCUGGGAAAGACUUUGGCUUAACCCCUCCCUAUAGCAGUCAGAUUGCUGGCCUGGAAGUAGAACACAUAUCCUAACCCUGCCUGCAAUGUAUCAGCCUUGGUCUCUCAUAUGCUCUCAGAUUUAGUUCCUUUCCCUUCUCCCUCCUCCCUGCCUCCCUCCCUUCCUCCUUUUCUUUCUUCCUUCCCUCCUUCUCCCCUUCCUUCCUUGAAAUAAGAACCCCUCUCACAGGAAUGUACAGUACAGGGGAAAUGAACGCAGGCCAAGACAACGGGCAGAUCUGCUGAAUUAUGAAAUGCUGAGUGACGUUCUCAUUCCCAAGCCGUCCUGUGGCGGGUGAAGCGGGGGCGCCCCAUCCUGAGGAGUAAUCAGCGAGCCGGUUCUGCCGGCGAAUGUAAUUGUGCCGAUCGUAAUCAUUUUGCUCCCGCUCUCUGCCCCUGUGGCAUUUAUUUCUUAGCCCAGAUAUUGAUCUAACAGUGGGAACUUUUCCAUCUGAAUCGGUGAUGCUGGACCCUCCCCUCGUCCGAAGAUGCGUUUGGGAAAUUCUCAUUUUCCGUGGAUCACGGCUGAGCUAUUUGGCCUGAGGGAAACUGGUGCCCUGCCGGAGAAGCGCCUCGGAUUGGAGAGAGAUUUUUUUGACCAUUAUGAGCAAAUCGGAAAUAAAUGUAAAACACUGCCUGGAAAUGCAAAGGCCUGUCAUUAUGGGAGAUAGGUGAGAGGCUCCUGUGGGAAAUGCUUAGAGAAUUGGAAGUCAGUCAAUCAAAACAGGGAUGGGAGAGUGGACCUCUACCCCCGGUAUGAAGAUAGAUGACUUCCAUGGCAGAUUGAAAAUCAUUUAAGUGCUUAUUUUUUUUAAUGGCUUUUCUAGAUCCCAAUAAACAGACUGCUCAUUCUGCAUCAAUUUCUCGCCCCCGUGCCCUGGGCCUCCCUCUCCUCUUUUUGGCUCUGACCUAGGCUACAAAAUUUGGGGAGGCGUCACAGGAAAAAGAAAUGCCCAGAAAAUGACUGGUCAGGGCUGGCCUAGCAAGAAGGCACCCCGAGUGAGGCUGGGGGUUCAGGAAACCCUGGAAAGAGUGCAGCUCCCAACUCUUCGAAUGUCCUCAGCCGAGUGCAAAGCAUUUGGUAUGAAUCGCGCCUUCCUCCCAACCCCAGCUGGAUCCGGCACGAGGAAGAGAAUCUCAGAUGGCUUCAUGGAGAUACAGACACAACUUCGGCUAGCCUUGGACACAUGGUCUGAACCAGCCCUGAAACUCAGACCCCAGCAGGAGCCAUCUGGACCUGUGGGUGAUCAUGACGCUUAUUACCCAGAAGAAUCAACCAAACCAGGCAGAAGGGGAGGGGAGAAAUCUUUGGCAGGUGAGCUGGGUGGACAUGUCCUGGGAAGAACCCUGUAGACAGGCAGGCCCACCCACAUGUGCAUGGUCACGGUAGACAGCGCUGCUUGGGGUCACCUUUUCUAUAAGGAAAACUAAGACCAAAGCCUUAUUUCCUGUGCAUCGGACAGGCGGCUGCUAUUAUCUGGAGGCGGCAGAAGAAACAGAAGCCUCCGCUGGGUGCCAGGGUGAGAGGCCAGGAAUGUGCAGGGAAGAAUCCUACCUCUGAGGCUGACAAAUCAGCCUUGCCUCGAGACAAAAUUAGCUUUACUUAAGGUUACCCAAAGCAGAACUGAUUCUUUUUCUGGGCCAGAUCAACCAUUUCGGCUCGGAAGAGAAUGGAUAGCAAGAAGGAAGAGAACAGGGCCUGGGACACUUCUUGAUCAAGGGCAGGAACUGGGCAGGCGGAGGGUGGGGGGCGGGGUAAAAGGAGAAAAUACACCUAGAAACCGGACAUGGGUCUUGGGGGGGAGCGGGGGAUGGACUUUCUUUGCAUUGUGAUGAUGCACACACCAGGCAGCUAAGCUACAGAUUGCACAGAAUUUGUGAUGAUCAGGCCCUUUGGCCUGGCCCCACAGCCUGCUAGCUCUGGGAACCUCUCUCUAGGGGAGAGACAGGGACAGUCCCUAAGGUCAGGAGCACAGAGGGGACA